rnacentral:lncRNA from 1 species
UCUGAGCUCUUCGUUCAGAAUUCCCGCAGAUGGGCCCGUGGAUGGCGCCUGUGCCUGAUUCACGUAGUACAAGCAUAGCAGCAAAGUGAGAAGGACCGCACAGACAACGAAAACGCGGCUUGAACCGCGUCGAAGGAUCUUAUACAUGGUACGAAAGUUGGAUUCGCUUCGGGGCGGGUGUUCCUCGAUUUCGAUUCACCUGGUGCCGCGAUAUUGGCUCGAUCCCGUGUCGGUUAUGCUCGACAAUCGCUCCCCGACUUUGCCGCUGUCGCCUGUCGACUUCAUGAGAUACUUUGGCGCCGACACGAUCUGAAAGAAGAGAAAUCGAACGAAAUUAAUAUAUUUUGGAUAUAAAAAGUAUCGAUUACAGAUAGACGAUUUAUCGGACACGGUCGCCCCGAUAUAUUAUUGCGAGGAAUAUCGAGACUCGAAAAGCGAGAUCGAAUGGUAUCGAAUAAAAGAAGAGGACGAGUGGCACGAUAUUGAAAAGAGUGAACCGUUCACGACAAUCAGAAGCAUUUGAAAAGUUCGAAGGAUGAAAAUAAUUAUCGUUGGGGAUAGAGAAGGAUUGGAGAAGUCGUAAAAAUUUUAAGAACACGUGUAUCCACCACACUGAAAUGAGCGAGAGGAAAUGAGGACAAGGAAAGAGCGAUCCAAUUCCGAUGAGAACAAUAAAUACGACCUGGUGAACCAGAGACACGGUUUCCCAGAAACCUUCUGUCUCUCGACGUAAGGUCGGUUCGCACGCGAUAAUCGAUCGUACCUGUCACCACCGACCCUGGCUGGAGAACGAGCCGCGAUUUACACACUGAAAACUCGAAUAUCGAUUUGCCUCUCGUUUGGGUUGAUAUUGAAAUUGCAAUCGUUAGAAGAUAAAUAAAUAAAUUCGCGAUUCAAUUUCUUCUCUUAUUUUUAUACAUCUAUAAUUUUUUUUUAGUAACAAAC